GGAAAAUUCUGUAUGUUGAAUCGACAUCUGUUUCUCCACAGUUUGCACUCACUGGAGCCAUACAGAGUAAAAUGUCUAAUGCUGCUUCCACAAAUAUUUGAGGACUGCUAACACAUUUCCUUCUUCCACUCACUCCACAAGGCUUCUUUUCUUCAAACUAAACAUGCCCAGUUAUUUCAAACAGGGAGGCAAUGUGGGGCAGUGGAAAGAACGUCAGUUCUGGAGCCAGACACAU
ensembl:misc_RNA